rnacentral:rRNA from 1 species
UACGAGAGGCCCAAACGUUAUUCGGAUUUACUGGGCUUAAAGAGUUCGUAGGCGGCUUGGAAAGUGGGGUGUGAAAGCCCUCGGCUCAACCGAGGAAUUGCGCUCCAAACUACCGAGCUUGAGUAGGCUAGAGGUGAGCAGAACUGAUGGUGGAGCGGUGAAAUGCGUUGAUAUCGUGAGGAACACCAGAGGCGAAGGCGGCUACCUGGACAAUUGCUGACGCUCAGGCACGAAAGCGUGGGGAGCAAAAGGG